AUAUAGCUUGGCAGACAAAUGCAAUUGACUUAGAAUCAUCGUAUGAAAAAUUUUCAUCUAUAACCUACG
rnacentral:tRNA from 1 species